AGGUUUCAGACUAGCAGCCGUGUUAGUCUGUGUCCGCAAAAAGCAAAGGAGAGGACUUGUGGCACCUUAGAGAUGAACCAAUUUAUUUGAGCAUAAGCUUUUGCGAGCUACAGCUCACUUCACUGGAUGCAUUCAGUGG